UACGGAGGGUGCGAGCGUUGUUCGGAAUUACUGGGCGUAAAGCGCACGUAGGCGGCUUUGUAAGUUAGAGGUGAAAGCCCGGGGCUCAACCCCGGAAUAGCCUUUAAGACUGCAUCGCUUGAACGUCGGAGAGGUGAGUGGAAUUCCGAGUGUAGAGGUGAAAUUCGUAGAUAUUCGGAAGAACACCAGUGGCGAAGGCGGCUCACUGGACGACUGUUGACGCUGAGGUGCGAAAGCGUGGGGAGCAAACAGG
rnacentral:rRNA from 1 species